rnacentral:rRNA from 1 species
CCUACGUGAGGCAGCAGUGAGGAAUAUUGGUCAAUGGGCGCGAGCCUGAACCAGCCAAGUAGCGUGAAGGAUGACUGCCCUACGGGUUGUAAACUUCUUUUAUAAAGGAAUAAAGUGAGGCACGUGUGCCUUUUUGUAUGUACUUUAUGAAUAAGGAUCGGCUAACUCCGUGCCAGCAGCCGCGGUAAUACGGAGGAUCCGAGCGUUAUCCGGCGUUAUUGGGUUUAAAGGGAGCGUAGAUGGGUUGUUAAGUCAGUUGUGAAAGUUUGCGGCGCAACCGUAAAAUUGCAAUUGAUACUGGCAGUCUUGAGGACAGUUGAGGUAGGCGGAAUUCGUGGUGUAGCGGUGAAAUGCUUAGAUAUCACGAAGAACUCCGAUUGCGAAGGCAGCUUACUAAACUGCCACUGACAUUGAUGCUCGAAAGUGUGGGUAUCAAACAGGAUUAGAUACCCUAGUAGUC